CAAAAAAGAGAAGUGGCCUGGAGCACAGAUCCACAAAUAUCCAAACCAGCAAGCGGUGAACACUGCAAUGGUAGCAAGACAGAUGAACACAAGGGAGAGCAAAAGUGGAGAUGCUACCGAAACUCCAGAGCUGUGAGAAGACCUAGAACCACAAUAAGCAGCUCUCCUGACCCACCCAUACGAAUAAAACCUGCGCAAUGUUAAAACAGGAAAACACAGAGCAUAAAAGAAGAUCCCUCUCUGGCAUGCCCACAAGCCAGCCUUGCAGAAAAUUCCUCAUGGUCACCCCCUUUCCAGGUGAUGUUACAGUUUGUUCACUCUACAAUCGAAACUAACAACCACAACUCUCCUUACUCCAGCCUUCUUCUUCCCAGGGUCCUCUGUAUCUUGCUGCCUCACCUAUACCUCCUGCCUAGCUACCGACCAGUCAGCUCUUUUAUUAAACUGAAGAAGGCACCUUGGCAAAGACACGUUUUCACAGUGUGCAAAAAAGGUUAUUCCGUAACGGAGAUCCAUUUGAAGGAGGGAUUCACCUUGGUCAAGAGAUUACAUGAAGGUGAGGCAACAUUGCUGAGAGAUGGCGCCCUUGACCAAAGGAUCCCUGUAGCAAAGCUGAGGGGCCCACAGCAAAAACCGAGGCGCCAGCCUUCCGUGGGUCCUGGAUUCCUCCUGCAUUACUUCAUGCCUUCUUUUUAAGAGUGAAUGCACAAGCAUCCUCGGUGAACGCUCCAAAGCCCCCAGAGACCUCUGGAGCACUCUGGUCUGGCACACCGUUCAGUCUCUGUGCUCUCAUCACAUUGCUCCAGUUGGGUAAGCUGGAGAGUCUCCCCCAAGACCUUGACCCUUGAAUCAGAAACUUGUGUUAGAGACUGGACCCUGACUUUCAACUAAGAUAUAUUGCACAGAGCAUUUAUGUUCUGAUUUUCCUGUAGUGAAGGACAACCACGUGACCGUAAGCAGUGGCCAAUGAAUAAAACCAACUCUGAUGUUGCUUUCUGUUGCCUGACGGAGGACGCUGCAGGUAACAACAGCAACACCAGUGGCUCAAGUUGACUGAAGAGCCCUGAUGCAAUCAAACAUGGGACCAGAAUUGCCAGUGAAAGAUAAGACACCUGAAAAUGCUGCCCAAUCAAGAGGAGCCUCUUGGAUGUUUAUAGGAACAUGAACAUACAUCCUGCCAUAUUUAGCUGCUAAAAUUUGGAAGUUGUUUUAAUAGCAAAUUAGUAACUUUACUUAACACACAUGUUACGAAAAGAAUUCUGGAGAGAGGCAUUGCUUUUUAAAAAUGUUUUUGAGAUUA